rnacentral:rRNA from 1 species
GAUGAACGCUGGCGGCGUGCCUAAUACAUGCAAGUCGAGCGAACAGACGAGGAGCUUGCUCCUCUGACGUUAGCGGCGGACGGGUGAGUAACACGUGGAUAACCUACCUAUAAGACUGGGAUAACUUCGGGAAACCGGCGCUAAUACCGUAUAAUAUAUUGAACCGCAUGGUUCAAUAGUGAAAGACUUUUUUCCUGUCACUUAUAGCUGGCUCCGCGCCGCAUUAGCUAGUUGGUAAGGUAACGGCUUACCAAGGCAACGAUGCGUAGCCGACCUGAGAGGGUGAUCGGCCACACUGGAAGUGGGACAAGGUCACGACGACUAAGGGAGGCAGCAGUAGGGUAUGGUCCGCAAAGGGCGAAAGCAUGACGGAGCAAGGGAGCGUGAGUGAUGAAGGUAUUGGGAUAGGAAAACUCUGUUAUGAGGGAAGAACAAAUGUGAAAAGAAAAAUGCACGAAUUGACGGUACCUAAACAGAAAGCCACGGCUAACUACGUG